rnacentral:rRNA from 1 species
AGAGUUUGAUCCUGGCUCAGAGCGAACGUUAGCGGGAGGCUUAACACAUGCAAGUCGAGCGAGAACAGUCCUUCGGGGCUUAGUACAGCGGCGGACGGGUGAGUAACACGUGGAUAAUCUGCCCUUUGGCGGGGGACAACAGCCCGAAAGGAAUGCUAAUACCGCAUAAGACCACGCUCUCUACGGUGAGAGUGGUUAAAGGUGCCUCAAAGCACCACCAGAGGAUGAGCCUGCGUCCCAUCAGCUUGUUGGUAAGGUAAUGGCUUACCAAGGCGAAGACGGGUAGCUGGUCUGAGAGGAUGAUCAGCCACACUGGCACUGGAACACGGGCCAGACUCCUACGGGAGGCAGCAGUGAGGAAUAUUGGGCAAUGGGCGAAAGCCUGACCCAGCCACGCAGCGUGUGUGAUGAAGGCCUUCGGGUCGUAAAGCACUGUGGGGAGAGACGAACAUGCGCAGGAGGAAAUGCUUGCGCACUGACGGUACCUCCUUAGCAAGCACCGGCUAACUCUGUGCCAGCAGCCGCGGUAAUACAGAGGGUGCAAACGUUGCUCGGAUUUACUGGGCGUAAAGCGCGUGUAGGCGGACUCGCAAGUCGGUUGUGAAAUCCCUGGGCUUAACCUAGGAACUGCAUCCGAAACUGCUUGUCUUGAGUAAUGGAGAGGGUGGCGGAAUUCCCGGUGUAGAGGUGAAAUUCGUAGAUAUCGGGAGGAACAUCAGUGGCGAAGGCGGCCACCUGGACCAAUACUGACACUGAGGUGCGAGCGUGGGGAGCAAACAGGAUUAGAUACCCUGGUAGUCCACGCCGUAAACGAUGUCAACUAGCCGUUGGAAGACUUGAUCUUUUAGUGGCGCAGCUAACGCAAUAAGUUGACCGCCUGGGGAGUACGGCCGCAAGGUUAAAACUCAAAUGAAUUGACGGGGGCCCGCACAAGCGGUGGAGCAUGUGGUUUAAUUCGAUGCAACGCGAAGAACCUUACCAGGUCUUGACAUCCUGCGAAUUUUCUAGAGAUAGAUUAGUGCCUUCGGGAACGCAGUGACAGGUGCUGCAUGGCUGUCGUCAGCUCGUGUCGUGAGAUGUUGGGUUAAGUCCCGUAACGAGCGCAACCCUUGUCCUUAUUUGCCAUCACGUAAUUGUGGGAACUCUAAGGAGACUGCCGGUGACAAACCUGAGUAAGGUGGGGACGACGUCAAGUCAUCAUGGCCCUUACGACCUGGGCUACACACGUGCUACAAUGGUCGGUACAGAGGGUUGCCAAGCCGCGAGGUGGAGCUAAUCCCAGAAAACCGAUCGUAGUCCGGAUUGGAGUCUGCAACUCGACUCCAUGAAGUCGGAAUCGCUAGUAAUCGCGAAUCAGAAUGUCGCGGUGAAUACGUUCCCGGGCCUUGUACACACCGCCCGUCACACCAUGGGAGUGGGUUGCAAAAGAAGUGGGUAGACUAACCUUCGGGAGGUCGCUCACCACUUUGUGAUUUAUGACUGGGGUGAAGUCGUAACAAGGUAGCC